CGUGCAAAUGAUGAUAAAAAAGACAGGGACAUCAGCAACUCCUUUGAGGAUGAUGAUUUGUCGUUGGGAAUCUCUCUGAUGCACG
rfam:Punica granatum cultivar Dabenzi scaffold33, whole genome shotgun sequence.